ACUGAUACUCUGUAUGGAUGUAACUUGUACAAUUCGUUUGUACAAGUUACAGCUUGAGGUCUAGCAACGACUAGCGAGCGUGCUUUGCUAAAGCUCAGCCGAAGAACGCCAUAGCAAUGGCGACUAAAGUACUUCUUGGAUAAUCUUGUAAUUAAAAAAAUAUCAAUCUGUUAUUGUUAUAUUUGAGAAGAAAACAAUAAGUUUUGACUAAAUAAUAAACGGAGAAUAACAUCGAGGAUUUCAUGAGGCCUAUUCGUGGACGCCUAAUAACUCCGGACAAUGCCAUGUACUACAGCUAUGUAUUAGCUCCAUCCUUCAAACCAACACGUCGCUCAUCGCCCGUUUGUAAACGGCGCAAAUCUUCUUUUUCAAAAAUUAUAGUGCUAAACGUCAAUGCAGUAUAUUAUAUUGAUAUAUAAAUAUCCGAUGCCUUUUGCUCAGUAUCUUCAGGUGAGAAACUACUUUCAAACCACUCAAAAUAUUCAUCGUUAUUAAGUCAAAUUUAUUGACCUAACUAUGAAUAGAAGAACAUGAAAACAUCAUGGAAGAAACGCAGUAAUACAAUUCAAAACUCGUAUGACGUGUCAGUGAAUGUAUCGAGCACUCCUGUAAGGUAUAUUCAUGAUUAUGAGGCCUCUAUACAGUUGACAUUAUUCAGGGAAGUUUGUUCUUCGGGGCGUCUGACUCAUGAUGAAUCCUUAAGAUUUGGAAUAGUAGGUUGAGGACUCAAAGAUUAGAAUCCUCUUCGAGGCAGUUUAGCCUCAGUUCUAGAAUUCUGACAUUUUUUUACUUGGCACCAUUCGAAAGAACUGACAAAAAGCUUCAAUUUGAUGGUUUUUUUUUUGCGAUAAAAAAUGUCUGAGCAACAAGCAAAACGAGAGGUUGUGUGCAAUCUCUUCCGGGCACAAGUCGAGCUCCGAUAAGAAAAUCUCCACAGUAGACGCUGUAAAUCAAUAGCCCUGGUUAAAACAAACUUCAAGACCAAGCAUCCAGCUCAGGUCAUGGUCCUCGGCGUUGUGGAGUUCGACGGCAACAAGAUGCCUCCCUACUUCUUCAAGGCCAACUAGAAAGUCAACACGAACGUAUACUACAAGUUCCUAAGAUUCGUUUGUUGAAGAGCACGUUGAACAGGAAAAACUAUGUGUCUACCCAAGAAGGCGCCCCGGCACACACGACCAAGAUGGUUCAUACUUUCUGCUGGGAGAGCAUAGCUGAUUGGUGCUAAUCUAAUCAAACUUCAUGACGGCUAAGCUGCUCCCCUCCCAGAAAUUCCUCAAAAUUGUAAGGGUCACUACUUACAUUUUCGGUCUUCAUUUUUUUAAUUAUCUGGCAUGCAUGCAAUAUUUUUAGAAAUAUAAAAACUUAGAUAUUAU
rnacentral:lncRNA from 1 species